AUGCAGCCAAAAACAUUUGAAAUGUUUAUUUGUGAACCUUCAGUUUUAACAAUCCAGGCGAAGUCCCUUCAGCAACCAUCUAUCAAGUUGUUUUGCUGUGUUUUAAGUUCUGUUUCUCUGCACUUGGUGAAGCUGGGUAUUUCACGAAGGGGGCAUUUUCUAAAGUUAAGCUUCAGGAGUCACGGCCUUACAUUGUCUUUAUUGGAUCUCUGGGUGGUUGCUUUGCCAAAGGUGUCCUUUCUAAGCUGCACAGAGCCAGAAAAUAUUUUAAAGCUGAGUUUGACUGUGUGAGACAUCUCGAUACUGAAGCUCUGAGUGAAUUUAUACUGAGUGAAAUCAAUGCACACACGGAGGUGAUGUGA
rnacentral:lncRNA from 1 species